GCCAGGGUGGCGCAGUGGUUAGCUUACCUGCCUAGUGAGCAGGAGACCUGGGUUCGAAUACCAGUCUUGGUA